rnacentral:rRNA from 1 species
CCUACGGGAGGCAGCAGUGAGGAAUAUUGGUCAAUGGGCGGAAGCCUGAACCAGCCAAGUAGCGUGCGGGAUGAAUGCCCUACGGGUCGUAAACCGCUUUUGCACGGGGAUAACACCCUCCACUUGUGGAGGUCUGCAGGUACCGUGCGAAUAAGGGCCGGCUAAUUCCGUGCCAGCAGCCGCGGUAAUACGGAGGACCCGAGCGUUAUCCGGAUUCAUUGGGCUUAAAGGGAGCGUAGGCGGGUGUUGAAGUCAGCUGUAAAAUCGCGCGGCUCAACCGCGCUCCGCAGUUGAAACUGUACGCAUUGAGUUCACAACAGGCAGGCGGAAUAAGUGGUGUAGCGGUGAAAUGCUUAGAUAUCACGAGGAACCCCGAUAGCGAAGGCAGCCUGCCGGAGUGCGACUGACGCUGAGGCUCGAAGGUGCGGGUAGCAAACAGGAUUAGAUACCCGAGUAGUC